rnacentral:rRNA from 1 species
AUUGAACGCUGGCGGCAGGCCUAACACAUGCAAGUCGAGCGGAUGAAGGGAGCUUGCUCCUGGAUUCAGCGGCGGACGGGUGAGUAAUGCCUAGGAAUCUGCCUGGUAGUGGGGGAUAACGUCCGGAAACGGGCGCUAAUACCGCAUACGUCCUGAGGGAGAAAGUGGGGGAUCUUCGGACCUCACGCUAUCAGAUGAGCCUAGGUCGGAUUAGCUAGUUGGUGGGGUAAAGGCCUACCAAGGCGACGAUCCGUAACUGGUCUGAGAGGAUGAUCAGUCACAAUGGAACUGAGACACGGUCCAGACUCCUACGGGAGGCAGCAGUGGGGAAUAUUGGACAAUGGGCGAAAGCCUGAUCCAGCCAUGCCGCGUGUGUGAAGAAGGUCUUCGGAUUGUAAAGCACUUUAAGUUGGGAGGAAGGGCGGUAAGUUAAUACCUUGCUGUUUUGACGUUACCAACAGAAUAAGCACCGGCUAACUUCGUG